rnacentral:rRNA from 1 species
UGGGGAAUUUUGGACAAUGGGCGCAAGCCUGAUCCAGCCGUGCCGCGUGAGUGAAGAAGGCCUUCGGGUUGUAAGGCUCUUUCAGUAGGAACGAAACGAUAGGCUCUAACAUAGCCUGUUACUGACGGUACCUACAGAAGAAGCACCGGCUAACUACGUGCCAGCAGCCGCGGUAAUACGUAGGGUGCGAGCGUUAAUCGGAAUUACUGGGCGUAAAGCGUGCGCAGGCGGUUUCUUAAGCCAGAUGUGAAAGCCCCGGGCUUAACCUGGGAAUUGCGUUUGGAACUGGGAGACUAGAGUGUGGCAGAGGGAGGUAGAAUUCCACGUGUAGCAGUGAAAUGCGUAGAGAUGUGGAGGAAUACCGAUGGCGAAGGCAGCCUCCUGGGCCAGCACUGACGCUCAUGCACGAAAGCGUGGGGAGCAAACAG